UUACCAUGUGUUUCUCAGUGGUAAAACCUGAGAGUUGUUGUAACUCGAAGCCUGUAGGCAAGAGUGAUUUUGUUCUUGAAUGAAGCUGUGAAGCAAGUUCAAGGUGUGGUAACAUUACAUUGUAUUUGUAGUGAUAGGAAUGGAAACUGGAGGUUUCUAUCUAGGAGUUCCUAGGUAUAGAUUGCAUUGGGUAGGGAUUAAGUGAUGAGUUGU
rnacentral:lncRNA from 1 species